rnacentral:rRNA from 1 species
GACGAACCGUGCGAACGUUGUUCGGAAUCACUGGGCUUAAAGGGCGCGUAGGCGGGCCGGACGGUCCGGGGUGAAAUCCCCCGCUCAACGGGGGAACGGCCCCGGACACCGCCGGCCUCGAGGGGGUAGGGGCGAGCGGAACGCUGGGUGGAGCGGUGAAAUGCGUUGAUAUCCAGCGGAACUCCGGUGGCGAAGGCGGCUCGCUGGGCCCUCUCUGACGCUGAGGCGCGAAAGCUAGGGAGCAAACGGG